GAUAAGGUGGCUGAAGUUUAGGCUGUAAAUUGUAAAUUUAUACAUGAGUUAGUACUCUCUUAUCA
rnacentral:tRNA from 2 species